AUGCUGGCUCUUCACAGGGCAUGUGCUCGUCCCAGCUAUUUAUCUUCUCUUGUGCACCUUUUGUAGUCUUUUCGGAAUGAAUAGCAGUUAUCGGAGCGUGAGCGCGCAAGCGCACUGCACCUGUCUGUUUUGCUUUCUUCAGAGGGACUACGUUUUCAUAUACACUAUAAAAGUUACAGAAUGUCUUUUAACGAUUGUGCUUGUCGCAGUCAUUAAACCUAUACAACUUUCAGCAACGGAUCUCUUGGCUCUCCCAUCGAUGAAGAACGCAGCGAAAUGCGAUAAGUAAUGUGAAUUGCAGAAUUCAGUGAAUCAUCGAAUCUUUGAACGCACCUUGCGCCCUUUGGUAUUCCGAAGGGCAUGCCUGUUUGAGUGUCAUUAAAUUAUCAACCUUGCUUUGCUUUUACUAGCAUUGCUCGGCUUGGAUGUGGGGGUUUGCGGGCUUCCUUCAGUGGAUGGUCUGCUCCCCUCAAAUGCAUUAGCGGGAUCUCUUGUGGACCGUCACUUGGUGUGAUAAUUAUCUAUGCCAUACGACUUUGAAGCAAACUUUAUGGGAACCUGCUUAUAACCGUCCUAGGACAAGCUUAUUGACAUUUUGACCUCAAAUCAGGUAGGACUACCCGCUGAACUUAAGCAUAUCAAUAAGCGGAGGAAAAGAAACUAACAAGGAUUCCCCUAGUAACUGCGAGUGAAGCGGGAAA
rnacentral:rRNA from 1 species